GUGUCCUUGGCCGAGCGGCAAAGGUGCUGGGCUUCCAACUCAGAUAGGCGGGUUCGACUCCCGCAGGACACUC
rnacentral:tRNA from 1 species